GCGAUGACCCUGGACAAACUCACCCGCUUCUACAGAUGCAGCCGACCAAUUGUGCCUCCAAUAGUGAUCAAGGUGUUCGAUGCACAGAUGAAAGUAUUUCCUGGAAAGACACAAGCCGAGGUUACACGGAUGAUCUGCGGCGCUGUAGACGACGACGGCGACCUAGUGUAUGAAGACUUCAUGGAGAAUUUCACGCCCGAAGUGAAAGCCGCCACUGGAGCUGCUUUGGUGGAGUGCGAGCGGUCAACGUGAAGUGGUUACAAGCACAGGGGCUUCUUACAGCCGCCCCAAGACUCGGACCGCAUUGCUCAAUAAAUCUU
rnacentral:lncRNA from 1 species